rnacentral:rRNA from 1 species
AACAAACGCUGGCGGCGUGCCUAAUACAUGCAAGUCGAACGGGGAAAGCUUUCGGGUGAGUACUAGUGGCGCACGGGUGAGGAACGCGUGGAUAAUCUGCCUUAGAGUGGGGGAUAACUAGUCGAAAGAUUAGCUAAUACCGCAUAAGACCACAAGAACUGCGGUUCAAGGGGUCAAAGGUUUUUCGCUCUAAGAUGAGUCCGCGUAAGAUUAGCUAGUUGGUGAGGUAACGGCUCACCAAGGCGACGAUCUUUAACUGGUCUGAGAGGAUGAUCAGUCACACUGGAACUGAGACACGGUCCAGACUCCUACGGGAGGCAGCAGUAGGGAAUAUUGCACAAUGGAGGAAACUCUGAUGCAGCGACGCCGCGUGAGUGAUGAAGGCCUUCGGGUCGUAAAGCUCUGUCGCAGGGGAAUAACACAAUGAAGGUACCCUGUAAGAAAGGAUCGGCUAACUUCGUGCCAGCCGCCGCAGUAA